UCUCCGUGCAUUCAUUCAUCCUGUGGCCAAACUGCAAGGAAGCUUUGAAUCCUUUUUCCAGAAGAGGGCUCACCAGUGGGAAAACACGGAGGCCUGUCCCCCCCAGAUCCUUGCUGUUUUGGGAGGCCCCUGACAACAUACUGUUGAUGUUGAACCGGAGAGUUUGAUUUGUGCUCGGGAGUCUGAGCUUGUAGCUGGGCUCCUGCAGAAGCCUCAUGAAAGAUGCAUUUCACCAGGCGGUUCCAGGGGAGAGACUGGCUUAAAUUACAGCUCCAUAAAUCCAAAUAUUGGCAUCUCUGCAAAUCCAAAUGUAGAGAUUUCAAAAAAAGUCUAAAUUCUAAGAAUCUUAUUUUGCACUUCUUGUGCAAAAUGGGGAGGAUGAGAUAUUUAGAGAGGAGACAAGGCUGUCAAUAAUGAGAAAAGCUUUAGCACAGCGAACCCAACCCCCUUUUCUUUCCUUGGGCAUUCUUCAUGCUUCCAGGGAAAAGGGAUGACAUGAGAGAGGAAGGCAGCAUUUGUUCAGCUUGGCUUUUUUCAGGACAGAUUAGGGGGACCACCCACCCAGGAUUUGGGGCAUAGGGCUCAACAAAUCUGGUUGGUCAAUUUCUGUCUGCUUUCCCCAAGCCACUUCUAGGCCUGGGACCAAGGGAACCCCAUGGGGAACUCACCCCACUAUAGUCUGUUCACAACCCAGCAGCCCCCAGCAAUCCCAUGAGACUCUGAGCCAAACCAGAUCACUCCUUUGCUCAAAACCCUCCUGUGGCUCCCUAUCUCCCUUGGAGAAGGGCCAAAGUCCCUAAAAUAGUCCCCAAAGCCCUGGCCCGCCUUCCCCAUUACCUCUCUGGCACCUCUUCACGCACACCUCCAGACACACAGGCACCUUACUAUUCCUCUCCCGUGAAGGGCAUGCUCCUCACUCACAGCCUUAACAUUUGCUGUUCCUUCUACCUGGAACAUUUUCCCCCAGAUAUCUUCAUGGUGUGCUAGGUCUUAACUCAGAUGAUAGCUUCUUCGUAUGCCUUCCCUGGCAACUCUAUUUAAAAUUCCAGAUGUCUUCCCAUACAUACCCCUUAUUCUUUCCUGAUCAAUUUCUUGAUCACUCAACUCAUUUAUCACCUUUUAGGAUUCUACUUUAAUUUCUCUAUUAAUUAUUUUUAUUAUCUCUCCUAAUUAGAGCAUAAGCUCUAUGAAGUCAGGGAUCCUUGUUUUGUUCAUUGAGGUAUCCCCAGCUUCCAGAACUGUGUUUGACACAUGGAAAGGAUUGUUCUUAAUUUAGAGAUAAGCAAUUACUUAUAAAAUUUACUAAACACCUACGUGUGCCAGGCACUCUACGAGACAGUUGAAUUUCAGAGGGAUUAAGAAGUUAAGCACAGGUAAUGCAGCUAAUUUCACCAAGAAAUUACAGCUCUGUCCUGUUCAACAUGGUAGCCACCUGUCCUAUGUGGCUAUUGAGCACCUGAAAUGUAACUGGUCUGAACUGAAAUGGGUUGUAAAUGUAAAAUGUAAAAUGUAAAAUGCACACCAAUCUUACACUAUGACACAAAAAAUUUAAAUAUCUUACUUUUUUUUUUUCUGAGUGAUUACAUGUUGAAAUUGUGAUAUCUUAGAUCUCCUGGGUUAAACAAAAGAUAUUUUUUACAGAGCCCGGACACCAGCCAUUAACAUUACUGAGCAUGUGCUACUCCCUGCCAGCUAAGCAACCUUCUGAGAGGCAUCUGGGGACUCACAUAAGGCAUGCUUACAAAGAAUACAAAUUGACUUAAUAAUUAUAUUUCCUUUUGUCAAUCAGUAAGCUGAGAGGUGAGGGGCUGGCUUUAUGCCUCUGACUCUGUGGGCUAAGUCCCUCCACUUUCCGUGAGUUGUCAGAGUUGGUUUCUGAGCCUUUGAGCUUGAUGAUUACAUACACCUCAAAUGAUGGAGAAUUCACGGAGGUGGUAAUAAACAAACAAAUAAAUAAGAUUGUAGCAGCUAACGUCUGUGAGAUGCUUACUAUGCAUAGCACCAUUCUAAGACCUUCACCUACGAGGUAGGCAUUGUUAUCAUUAUCCUCAAGGAUCUUGCCCAUGGCAACACAGCUAGUGCCUUGCGGAGUCAAGAGUCAGACAUAAAACAGAGUAGGGGUAACCUCGAGCUAGCUGCCCAGCAGGCCCAGAUAGUAACCAGUAUGGCAGAAUUCCUUUGUCUUCAUACUCCACAUUCCCCCUGGUCCCACCUGUUGGUGAUGAGGCCCUCACCUGUUACCUUUGCAUUCAUUCAUGAAUCUGACUCUUCGUCACCCUUCCGACACCAUGUCCUCUCAGUUUCCCACUUGCCCACUACGUAUGUCCCAGCCACGUCAGUCCUUGGUUUCCUGUCGACGCCAGGCUUGUGAUUACCUCAGGCCUUGACAGAUUCAUUCCCUGGGCCUGGAAUGUUCUAGAAUUCCACUCCAAACAAAGCUAAAUCCUUUGUCUUCUUUAUGCCUCCAAUUAAGUCAAGUCCUUAGAGGGGGUUUUGCUAACUAGCUUGUUACACACCUCACCCUUCCUCAGCUUGUUUGUUUCCUACAUAACACUUAUUACAGUAGUGAUUAUAUUUGCUUAUUUCAUCAUUGCCUGUGUCUCAAGGAAUCUAGACUGAUGUGUCACUAUUGAACCCUCGUUGUCCAGUAUAGUGUCCUACACACAGUAGAUGCUUAACAAAUAUGUGCUGAGUAAACACACCCUUCUUUGGAUUAGCCUGCUAUUCUCAUUUGAUGUGACUCAGGAGAAGCAUUUCUUCCAAAAAAUGAUUUUGAGUUUCAAGUGUGUGCUUAGUUCGUAAAACCCAGGUGUGAAGGGGAACCAGGAAGAAGUAGAUGGAGUAAAAUGGGUGAAGUAGGAGAAAUAGAAAAGAAAAGAAAAAAAAAAAAAAGAAAGGAAUACAAUAAGGACCUAUUAAGGAGAACAAAUAUCAAGAAAGGGUUUUGCUAAAGUUCACGGCAUUGGGGUUGAUUGCCAGUUUGGUGGCUGAGUUCUCGGACUAGACUAUGGGAGCGAAAGAUGGGAUGGAGUUCUCCCUCUACAUGGUGAGGACCCGCCUGUGGGCUAGCUCUGCCCUGGGCCCUGUGGCAGGGGCUGAAUGUGCACUGCUCCACAUGGCAGUGAGCCCCUGUGCCUGGCAGUGCACUCCAGGAAUCCAUAUUGAAUGCCUACUUUAUGCCAUCCGUUGUUCUCCCUUGCUAUGCAGAGGGAACAAAACCUAAUAUUUGCCCUUCGGAUGCUCACGGCUCCAUCACACCAACUAGCAUCUACCGAACAGCUCAGGAGGUAUUUAGUAAACAUUUUUUUUUUUUAAGUAACGGAUUAAUGAAUGCAUAGAAUUAAGCCUUUGUCUUAAGAGUCCUAAACGCAGUUGGGGAUGCCAGACGAAGUAUAUUUAGAGACUGAGCCCAAAGGGUAAGUUCUAUAAGCUUAUAUAGCUAUGUUUACCUAGCGUUUGCAAACUGGAGAAGCUAUAAUCACUCUGUACAUAGCUAUUGUAGGGGAGGAAGCAACUAUUUUUGCUCUACCUGUCUUAGGUUCAUUGGCUGGGGUCCUCAAAUUAGACUGGCAAAUGACAGAUUAACAAGAGAAAAACAAAUAAAAGCUUAUUAACGUGUGCUUCAGGCUUCUACACAGGAGUGCUCUGUGAUGAGUGGAUCAAAAGGGUGGUUGGAACCUGGGCUUAUAUAACAUCGUAGCAAAGUAUAGUAAUUUUGUAGAGAAGUGACGUGACAAAGAAAAAGGACUUUGAGCUUCUAGGGAAAGCAAAUUGUGGGAAGGCAGAUAUAUGGGGAAACUAAUGGAAAUUUCCUCAGUGCCAUCUUAACUCCAGUGGUACAGGAAGUGGGGAAAGGGGACACCUUAACAAGGGGGAUUUAUGUUCUGUUUUCAGGCAGAGAGGUAGAGGGCAGAGAACUUUUCUUAUAUCUGCUUCUUCUCAGUUGCUUUCAACUCAAUCCUUGUGCCAAAGUGACAUCUUUUGGGACGGUGUGUUAUACUACUCUUUACUAUGAACUAGCAAAACGAUGAGAUCCUAUCUCUGAGAUAGCAGGGGAAUUCAUUCUGUGCCAGGUACUGUGGUAAUUUUGUAAUCAUUGUCUGGUUAACCCUUCUCACAACCUCCCAGGGCAGGUUCUAUCAGGAGUCUAAUACUCACUUUAUAGCUGAGGAAAGUGCACCAUCUAAAGGGACCCGUCCCUAUCACAGAGCUGGCAAAGCAGCCAACCAACAGAAUAUGGACCGAGACAGGUCUGAAUACAAGUCUCACUGGACCGGGAACCCCGGUGCUCCAACCACUAUUUGCCCCACUGAUGUGACAACAACAGAAAGGAGCUUCUUGGUAACAGUUGGUGGACCUACUCCCAUUCCACUUUAGAGUGCCGAUGGGGUUUUGGAGUGAUGGGGGUCCGGACCUGAUGGCCAAGAAAGAAUUCUUGGGACAUCUUUGGUGCAAAAAAGAUGGAAACCAGCGUGUCCACUGGUGAGGCUAACGUUCCUGUGAGCUGGGGCCAGGAAAAGGCAGCAGACAAAGGGAACAGUCAGCCAAGUAGAGUUUGCUGGAGAUUUACGUGGAAACCUCCUCACAGAGGCAGUGCUGCUGGAUUUAUAACAAGGAUGAUAUCAUCCAAACUCGCCGGCAUCCCCAUAGAGGACUUUGAAGAUUACGACUGUCUUCUGUUACUCAGUCUUCCUCUGUCCAUGCUUUCCAUAUUCCUGGUGCAGACGGGGUCAUCGACUUUCCCAUCUCAUCCCUUGAAUCUGAAUCACCUAUGGGACUUGCUUCGGCCAAUGAGAAAUUAAUAAAUAUGAUGCAAAGAAGAGGCUUGAAAAAUGCCUGCAUAUAAGCUUCCUACAGUUGCCCACAGAUGCACGAGUGAGCCCAGCAAACCUCAUGAGAAGAACUGCCCAGCUGAGCCCAGCCCGAGUGGCUGCCUCAUAAAAUCAUGAGAUAAAUAAAUGGCUAUUAUUUUAAUCAGCUAAA